AUUGAACGCUGGCGGCAUGCCUUACACAUGCAAGUCGAACGGUAACAGGUCUUCGGAUGCUGACGAGUGGCGAACGGGUGAGUAAUACAUCGGAACGUGCCUAGUAGUGGGGGAUAACUACUCGAAAGAGUGGCUAAUACCGCAUGAGAUCUACGGAUGAAAGCAGGGGAUCGCAAGACCUUGUGCUACUAGAGCGGCCGAUGGCAGAUUAGGUAGUUGGUGGGAUAAAAGCUUACCAAGCCGACGAUCUGUAGCUGGUCUGAGAGGACGAUCAGGCGCACUGGGACUGAGACACGGCCCAGACUCCUACGGGAGGCAGCAGUGGGGAAUUUUGGACAAUGGGCGCAAGCCUGAUCCAGCAAUGUCGCGUGCAGGAUGAAGGCCUUCGGGUUGUAAACUGCUUUUGUACGGAACGAAAAGCCCUGGGUUAAUACCCUGGGGUCAUGACGGUACCGUAAGAAUAAGCACCGGCUAACUACGUGCCAGCAGCCGCCGUAAUAC
rnacentral:rRNA from 1 species